AGCUCCAAUAGCGUAUAUUAAAGUUGCUGCAGUUAAAAAGCUCGUAGUUGCAUUUCCGAGGCAAGGGAUUAGUCCGACCUUUGGUGGGUAUUUAAUCCUCUUGCCUCGUCCUUGAGUGGUGCUUCUUGGUAUUAAGUUAUCGAGGAGAUAGCCGCUCAUCGUUUACUGUGAGAAAAUUAGAGUGUUCAAAGCAGGCUUAUGCCGUUGAAUAUAUUAGCAUGGAAUAAUAAGAUAGGACCUCGGUACUAUUGUGUUGGUUUGAGAACCAAGGUAAUGAUGAAUAGGGACAGUUGGGGGUAUUCGUAUUCAGUUGUCAGAGGUGAAAUUCUUAGAUUUACGGAAGACGAACUACUGCGAAAGCAUUUACCAAGGAUGUGUUCA
rnacentral:rRNA from 1 species